CCCACACACCACCCCCGUUGUUCAGCUAUCCGUCCAUCCAUCCAUCCUUCCAUUCAUCUACUAAUCCAUUCAUCCAUUCACGCACCCAUUAGUCUGGUAAUGACUAGCAAUUUGUAAAAACGAGAAAUCAGAGGUUAAAUAAGACCCUUUCCUAUAGCUGGGUGCACUGAUAGUUGGCAAAAGAUAUUUAGUGCUUUUUUCGGGCGUUUAAGCUCUUUAGAGAGAGCUACACUUUUCAUGUCCGAAUCUCUUACACUGGUGAUUUUUUUUAUAUAUUUCAGACCCACAGGUGAAUUACCUAUCGAGAAGUCAAGGUCGACGCCAAAACGGCCCACGUUACAACAUUCGGACGAAAUAAAGGUCAACGCUCCUAUGAUAUGAGGAAAUAUAAAGAAGAAAGUGCCUUAAUUUGCUAAACUUUAGUAAGAAACGUAGCAUUUGGACUCGAUUUUGUAACAAUACUCAAUAAUUUUAAUGAUAAAGAAAUGGCACUGAGGAGCAAACAAAGGAUUAAAAAGGAGCAAAGUA